rnacentral:rRNA from 1 species
GACGAACGCUGGCGGCAGGCUUAACACAUGCAAGUCGAACGCAUCCUUCGGGGUGAGUGGCAGACGGGUGAGUAACGCGUGGGAACGUGCCCUUCAGUUCGGGAUAACCCAGGGAAACUUGGGCUAAUACCGGAUACGUGCGAGAGCAGAAAGAUUUAUCGCUGAAGGAUCGGCCCGCGUCUGAUUAGCUGGUUGGUGGGGUAAUGGCCCACCAAGGCGACGAUCAGUAGCUGGUCUGAGAGGAUGAUCAGCCACAUUGGGACUGAGAAACGGCCCAAACUCCGACGGGAGGCAGCAGUGGGGAAUAUUGGACAAUGGGCGCAAGCCUGAUCCAGCCAUGCCGCGUGAGUGAUGAAGGCCUUAGGGUUGUAAAGCUCUUUCGUCCGGGACGAUAAUGACGGUACCGGAAGAAGAAGCCCCGGCUAACUUCGUGCCAGCCGCCGCCGUAACAC